AGAAUCAACGCUGGCGGCGUGCCUAACACAUGCAAGUCGCACGAGAAAGGGGGAGCAAUUCCUGAGUACAGUGGCGCACGGGUGAGUAACACGUGAAUAAUCUACCUCCGAGUGGGGAAUAACUGAGAGAAAUCUUAGCUAAUACCGCAUAACACUUACGAGUCAAAGCAGCAAUGCGCUUGGAGAGGAGUUCGCGGCAGAUUAGUUAGUUGGCGGGGUAAUGGCCCACCAAGACGAUGAUCUGUA
rnacentral:rRNA from 1 species